rnacentral:lncRNA from 1 species
UUCCUGGCAGCUACGCCGGUUAGUUAAUAUUGCAUGUGCAAUGUAUAUGAUGCUUGAAAAUUCAGGAAAUCUCAGUUGGGUCCUUAGAUUUUGGAGGAAAUCAGCCAGUAAAUAUUGCUUGAGUAACUAGCAAAUACAUCACAAAAGAUCAAACACAAAUAAACUCCAAGUUUCACUGCUUAAUAUUCUCAACUCUCAUGACAUUAAUAGUUUUUUUCAUAGCUUCACCUUCAUUACAACUUCUAACAAAAGACAACUAAUUUUUCAUAAUAACAAACAAACAGAGAAUAAGUAUUACAAAAACUAAUUUCUUCAAUAAUAUUUUCAUUUCUUGUCUCAUUUCGAUUAUAGUAGGAUCAUGCAUAAUGAAAUUAUUUGGCAGUUGCGUUUCAAUAGUUGCUGAUGAUUUUUCUCCAUUUAUAGCUUUGCAUCAUCCCAAGAAAUCGCAUUUUCCAUUCGGGCACGUGUAGUACAUUCGACCUUCAUUUCCAUUCUUAUUGGAGCGGGUAAUUUUACAAAUCGCAAAUUGUCCACAAUGACAUUACUUGUUUUGAAUCCUUAAAUCAAAUUUGUUGCUCUCUACGUACCAUGCUUCCAGAUGCCAUGUUUUCUUUCUACAAAAAUGACAAAAUAAACAAAAUACAAAAUACAUCACGAUUUCUUUUUAAACUUUUCUUUAAAGCCUGGAAACAAAACUUGAAAAGAACAAAGUAGAUAUGUAGAUAAAAGCAAUUCUGCUAUGUUUAAACCCCACAUGCAUCAGAUAUGUUGAGAAUUUAGGCAAAUGCCUUAUAGGUCAAUUCCAUGUUUAUCAGAAAGAGAUCAGAGAUGGAGGAAUAACCAUCUUUGUCGGCUAGUUGCAAAAUGUCAAAACGUCUCUUUGGUGUUGGUUUCUUUAGGCGGGGUUGAAAAUUCCUUGAGAACGAGGGAUAAUAUGGCUCUGCUACUUUAUUUUGGAGAGCAGAGUUUUGUUCCCUCUUAAGCUCCCUUUGAAAUUACUAUAAGCAUUUGGAAUUACUAUUGUAAUAUCAAGCACCAAAAACAUUUAUACCAUGUCCAUAAGCAAAAUCUCCAUAAUUAUCCUUAUGGAGCACUAAAAAAUUGGAAGCAUACAUAUAUCAGGACAUAAGGAACAGAAAAGGCUUGCACAGCCCUAGAGAAUUCAAAAUCCACUGUACAAAGAGAUAUCACAACAUAGCAAAUAAUGAAUCCAUUAAAGAGGAGGCACAGUCACGAACAAAGUUUUUAAGAAUAGAUAACUUGUUUUAAUUCUUGUCUUCCUUCCUUUUAAUCUAGUUCCUCUUCCCAAGUUAAAACUGAUAAUAAAUCAUUCAACCCAAGUGCACGUCCAUCACAAUGCUACCAAUUUCAAUAAAAUCACCCAAAAUUAAACUAAAUUAGAAUAACAAAAUAGAUCAAAUUUUCAGGAAAUAAACAAACAGAAACAUAUUAAAAAGGUCAAAAUCAGAAAUUUUCACCCAAAAUAAGAGUUUUUCAAAAUUUUCACCCAAAACAAGAGUUUGCACAAAAAUUAGAGUUUUGAGAAUUUAGGCAUAUCAGAGAGUAAUGGUAGGAGGAGAAGGAAUAUAUGUAAUCAUACCUUGAAGUUUGUAGAGGGGGAGAGCAACGAAGCAACGACAUGAUCGGGUAGCUUGAGAGAAAGAGAGUUGUUGGUGAAAAAUUGGUAAAGUAGAGAGAAAGUAAUUUCAAUUGAGCGGGUUUUUUUUGGUAAAGCAUAAAGAGAGUAACUCCAAUUGAGCGGGUUUUUUUGUUUCACUCUUUCAUGCUGAUGUGGUUGUGCCACAUCACAAUGUCGCCA